GAUGAACGCUGGCGGCGUGCCUAAUACAUGCAAGUCGAGCGAACAGACGAGGAGUUCUCCUCUCUGACGUUAGCGGCGGACGGGUGAGUAACACGAGGAUAACCGACCUAGAGGACUGGGAUAACUUCGGGAAACCGGAUCUAAUACCGGUCAAGAUAUUGAACCGCAGGGUUCAAUAGUGAAAGCCGGUUUUGCUGUCACUAAUAGAUGGAACCGGGUCGGAUUAGCUAGUUGGUAAGGUAACGGCUUACCAAGGCGACGAUGCGUAGCCGACCUGAGAGGGUGAUCAGCCACACUGGAACUGAGACACGGUCCAGACUCCUACGGGAGGCAGCAGUAGGGAAUCUUCGGCAAUGGGCGAAAGCCUGACGGAGCAACGCCGCGUGAGUGAUGAAGGCCUUCGGAUCGUAAAGCUCUGUUAGUAGGGAAGAACAAAAGUAUGAGUAAAUCUGGACGUCUUGACGGUACCAAAACAGAAAGCAACGGCUAACUACGUG
rnacentral:rRNA from 1 species